ACAAAUAAAACUCUUGGCGCUGACAAAUUUCUGUGGUAUAAGAGGAAAUAAAACACUUCAGGAUGUGCUGCUACUGGAAAAUAAUCGAGGGCGGCAACAGUAACUCGGCUUCUCAUCAAGCCAUCAUCACCACCACCACGCCAUGGACGACAACGUACGUUUACAUGCACAUAUUACGAUAUUAAUCUGAAAUUUGACAAUAUUCUGAUUAGUACUGAGUCAUGUAAACGCCUCAAUCCGAUUGCCCGAUUCAGAUUAAGACAAUAUUCUGAUUCCCCAAAUUCCGAUUUGGAAUAGGUCUGUUCUGAAAUCUAUUGCAUGUAAACACCUUAUUCAGAAAAUCCACUGAACAGAGAUAUAUACGCAUGCUCAGUCCGCAAGGAAUUAUGGGUGCUAACAGACGCUUAGCUCUCGGAUCCAUACAUCGCCUGGUCCUUCAAUCCUCUUGGCUACAUCCAGACCCUGAGAUUGGGAUUGGGAAUUCCGUCUCCUGCGUUUAAUCUGGCUCAGAAACUGGCAACACUGAUAACAAACUGCCCACGCUUGUUCUUCAUUUAUCGGCUGACCGUAGAGGGUUAAAAUUUCUUCCAGACAGAGGACAUCUCCUUCCCCAGAGUCCACCUCGGUGUCUCCAUCUCUGAGAGCCGCGGAGGAGAUUAACGUUACCGCUCCAUCUUCAUUCUCAGGCGGUCUGGCCAUUAUUUUUAUUUAUUUAUUUAUUUAUUUAUUUAUUAUAUCACACUUCCAGAGUCUUCUGUUGUUUAUGACAAAAAAGUAAGCAUUACAUAAAUAAAAUAUAACGUCCUUUAGAGAGCUGGAGCAUCUUUCUUCCGCGCCAUCCACUAAAUCCACACUGCUCACACACACUUCCCAUUCAGCUCCAGCGCUCUGUGUGUGUGUGUGUGUGUGUGUAUGUUUUGCUUUCGUGUUCCUCUUCAGCAGAGCCCGGGUCAUAUGACGGAUGUAAGUCCGCAGGGUCCUAAAAGGAGAGUACUUCCGACACAUCAGCACAAGCCAAGGCGUGGCAGCGUGACGUCACGACUACUUAUUUAUUUGUUUGCGUACACGUUUCUUUCUUUCUUUAUUUAUUUAUUGACACGUACUGCUGCGGUCAGGGCCAAGUGAGGACUGGGAAGGUUUUUAUCAACCAGUAUUUAGCGAUUUGAAAUCUAACCAGUAAGGCAAAAGAAAGCUUUAGAAACCUCAAAUCACGCUGUUAUUUUCUUGCUUUACUUUUCACUAUGAGCGCCGCCGCCAUGUUGAAGUGACGUCACGGAAUCGCAACCGGGAGAAGUCGGACAUGCGCAUUUCGUUCUUUUGCACUACUUAGUUGUUUCACAAGGUGGUAACAGUGACCCAGGGCUGUUGAUUCUCAAGGUAGUUGAAGAAUAAACAGAAGAGACGAGUGCAGGCCAGAAAGUACCGGCAUUUGUAUAAUUCUACCCUCAAAGAGUAUAAGGAUUUGCCCAAGCAUUGUUCUUCGUUUUGUUGUUAUUGUUCUUCGUUGUCGUCCUUCACACCAGAAGACCUGCUUUACUGCUCUCUACUGACUGUUGUAGACCAGGAGGGGUAGUGCAAGUUGUCGUAAUGCGUAUGCGUACGCGUACAUGUCAAAUGGAGUAUACUUUGAAAGGCUAUGCGUAUGACUGUGCACAUACGCUAGCGGACGCGUAAAAAACGAAGUAUACCAGAGGCUUUAAGCUCAAGAGAUAAAUAACAGCGUGUGGGUUUUUUUUUUUUUUAACCAGCGUAAAGUUUUUAAGGGAGGUGGACUUCUGAGUCUCUGUUUAUGUUUGAAAUAUGAGUGGGUGAUACUUUGAAAUUUUAAAUGUCCCCUGCUGAAAAAAAAAAACUGUAGAAACCCUCAUAGAAUUUGUAAUGGUUUUAAUGGAAACUGUAAUGGUCCCUGUGGGUGUCUAUUGGUAAUUUGUUGCGUUCUAUUGGUGGCAUGUUAUGUCUAGUGGAUACCAUUAAGGACCAAUAAUGUUCAUGGUUUUAAUGGUUGGCUGAUGGUUUGUAAUGGUAUUUGUAAAAUGUCUGUGAUGGAUUCUAUUGUUUUUUCAUUUUCUUUCUGCAGGAUUUUUUAUCAGACCGCACUUUCAUCUAAUUUUCGUCACUAUUAACAGUGAAUUAUCACAUAUCUACUUUAACAGUAAAUUAAGUGAUAACCAAACAACACUUUAAUUCCAGUUUAUGUAGACAUCUUAUAGUGAGUAUUUAUUUUAUUUCCAAAAUCGGAUGGCUGAGUUUGUGUAAAUGCUCUAAUCUGGGAAUUAGGAGGUUCCCAGUUAUCAUGAAUCUGAUAUACUGCAAUCCACUGUACAUGGAACUUGUGGUGGCUUUAGCAGUUAAGGCUCUGGGUUACUGAACGGAAGGUCGGGGGUUCAAGCCCCAGUACUGCCAAGCUGCCACUGUUGGGCCCUUGAGCAAGGCCCUUAACCCUCUCUGCACUGUAUCAUGCACUCUAACCCCAGCUUCCUGACAUGCUGGGGUAUGUGAAGAAAAGAA